rnacentral:tRNA from 1 species
AGGUUUUGUAGUCAUUUAUGAUUUUAAAUUGCAAAUUUAAAGGUGAAUUUAGCUUCC